rnacentral:rRNA from 1 species
GAGUUUGAUCAUGGCUCAGAGCGAACGCUGGCGGCAGGCUUAACACAUGCAAGUCGAGCGCCCCGCAAGGGGAGCGGCAGACGGGAUAGUAACACGUGGGAACGUACCCUUCAGUUCGGAACAACCCAGGGAAACUUGGGCUAAUACCGGAUACGUCCGUAAGGAGAAAGAUUUAUCGCUGAAGGAUCGGCCCGCGUCUGAUUAGCUAGUUGGUGAGGUAACGGCUCACCAAGGCUACGAUCAGUAGCUGGUCUGAGAGGAUGAUCAGCAUCACUGGGACUGAGACACGGCCCAGACUCCUACGGGAGGCAGCAGUGGGGAAUAUUGGACAAUGGGCGCAAGCCUGAUCCAGCCAUGCCGCGUGGAUGAUGAAGGCCCUAGGGUUGUAAAGUCCUUUUUAACGGGGAAGAUAAUGACGGUACCCGUAGAAUAAGCCCCGGCUAACUUCGUGCCAGCAGCCGCCGCCGUAAC